rnacentral:rRNA from 1 species
UACGGGGGGGGCAAGCGUUGUUCGGAAUUACUGGGCGUAAAGGGCUCGUAGGCGGCCCACUAAGUCAGACGUGAAAUCCCUCGGCUUAACCGGGGAACUGCGUCUGAUACUGGAUGGCUUGAGUUUGGGAGAGGGAUGCGGAAUUCCAGGUGUAGCGGUGAAAUGCGUAGAUAUCUGGAGGAACACCGGUGGCGAAGGCGGGUUUCUGGGCAGUAACUGACGCUGAGGAGCGAAAGCGUGGGGAGCGAACAGG